rnacentral:tRNA from 1 species
UGGGGACGUAGCUCAGCCUGGCAGAGCACCUGAUUUGCAUUCAGGGGGUCGUCGGUUCGAAUCCGAUCGUCUCCACCC